CCUACGGGGGGCAGCAGUAGGGAAUAUUGCUCAAUGGGGGAAACCCUGAAGCAGCAACGCCGCGUGGAGGAUGAAGGUUUUCGGAUUGUAAACUCCUUUUGUUAGAGAAGAUAAUGACGGUAUCUAACGAAUAAGCACCGGCUAACUCCGUGCCAGCAGCCGCGGUAAUACGGAGGGUGCAAGCGUUACUCGGAAUCACUGGGCGUAAAGAGCGCGUAGGCGGGAUGGCAAGUCAGAUGUGAAAUCCUAUGGCUUAACCAUAGAACUGCAUUUGAAACUGUUAUUCUAGAGUGUGGGAGAGGUAAGUGGAAUUCUUGGUGUAGGGGUAAAAUCCGUAGAGAUCAGGAGGAAUACUCGUUGCGAAGGCGACCUGCUAGAACGUAACUGACGCUGAUGCGCGAAAGCGUGGGGAGCAAACAGGAUUAGAUACCCCUGUAGUC
rnacentral:rRNA from 1 species